ACUCCUACGGGAGGCAGCAGUGGGGAAUAUUGCACAAUGGGCGAAAGCCUGAUGCAGCAACGCCGUGUGAAUGAAGAAGGCCUUAGGGUCGUAAAAUUCUGUCCUAAGGGAAGAAAAAGAUGACGGUACCUUAGGAGGAAGCCCCGGCUAACUACGUGCCAGCAGCCGCGGUAAUACGUAGGGGGCAAGCGUUAUCCGGAAUUAUUGGGCGUAAAGAGUACGUAGGUGGCUAUAUAAGCGCAUGGUGAAAGGCAGAGGCUUAACCACUGUUAGCCUUGCGAACUGUAUACUUGAGUGCAGGAGAGGGAAGCGGAAUUCCUAGUGUAGCGGUGAAAUGCGUAGAUAUUAGGAGGAACACCAGUGGCGAAGGCGGCUUUCUGGACUGUAACUGACACUGAGGUACGAAAGCGUGGGGAGCAAACAGGAUUA
rnacentral:rRNA from 1 species